GCCCUUGUAGCUCAAUCGGCAGAGCAACUGACUCUUAAUCAGUAGGUUAAAGGUUCGAUUCCUUUCGGGGGCA
rnacentral:tRNA from 1 species